UACGUAGGGUGCGAGCGUUAAUCGGAAUUACUGGGCGUAAAGCGUGCGCAGGCGGUUCGUUAUGUCCGAUGUGAAAGCCCCGAGCUUAACUUGGGAACGGCAUUGGAAACUGGCGGGCUGGAGUGCGGCAGAGGGGGGUGGAAUUCCACGUGUAGCAGUGAAAUGCGUAGAGAUGUGGAGGAACACCGAUGGCGAAGGCAGCCCCCUGGGCCGACACUGACGCUCAGGCACGAAAGCGUGGGGAGCAAACAGG
rnacentral:rRNA from 1 species